rnacentral:rRNA from 1 species
GUUAAGCGACUAAGCGUACACGGUGGAUGCCCUGGCAGUCAGAGGCGAUGAAGGACGUGCUAAUCUGCGAUAAGCGUCGGUAAGGUGAUAUGAACCGUUAUAACCGGCGAUUUCCGAAUGGGGAAACCCAGUGUGUUUCGACACACUAUCAUUAACUGAAUCCAUAGGUUAAUGAGGCGAACCGGGGGAACUGAAACAUCUAAGUACCCCGAGGAAAAGAAAUCAACCGAGAUUCCCCCAGUAGCGGCGAGCGAACGGGGAGCAGCCCAGAGCCUGAAUCAGUGUGUGUGUUAGUGGAAGCGUCUGGAAAGGCGCGCGAUACAGGGUGACAGCCCCGUACACAAAAAUGCACAUGCUGUGAGCUCGAUGAGUAGGGCGGGACACGUGGUAUCCUGUCUGAAUAUGGGGGGACCAUCCUCCAAGGCUAAAUACUCCUGACUGACCGAUAGUGAACCAGUACCGUGAGGGAAAGGCGAAAAGAACCCCGGCGAGGGGAGUGAAAAAGAACCUGAAACCGUGUACGUACAAGCAGUGGGAGCACGCUUAGGCGUGUGACUGCGUACCUUUUGUAUAAUGGGUCAGCGACUUAUAUUCUGUAGCAAGGUUAACCGAAUAGGGGAGCCGAAGGGAAACCGAGUCUUAACUGGGCGUUAAGUUGCAGGGUAUAGACCCGAAACCCGGUGAUCUAGCCAUGGGCAGGUUGAAGGUUGGGUAACACUAACUGGAGGACCGAACCGACUAAUGUUGAAAAAUUAGCGGAUGACUUGUGGCUGGGGGUGAAAGGCCAAUCAAACCGGGAGAUAGCUGGUUCUCCCCGAAAGCUAUUUAGGUAGCGCCUCGUGAAUUCAUCUCCGGGGGUAGAGCACUGUUUCGGCAAGGGGGUCAUCCCGACUUACCAACCCGAUGCAAACUGCGAAUACCGGAGAAUGUUAUCACGGGAGACACACGGCGGGUGCUAACGUCCGUCGUGAAGAGGGAAACAACCCAGACCGCCAGCUAAGGUCCCAAAGUCAUGGUUAAGUGGGAAACGAUGUGGGAAGGCCCAGACAGCCAGGAUGUUGGCUUAGAAGCAGCCAUCAUUUAAAGAAAGCGUAAUAGCUCACUGGUCGAGUCGGCCUGCGCGGAAGAUGUAACGGGGCUAAACCAUGCACCGAAGCUGCGGCAGCGACGCUUAUGCGUUGUUGGGUAGGGGAGCGUUCUGUAAGCCUGUGAAGGUGUACUGUGAGGUAUGCUGGAGGUAUCAGAAGUGCGAAUGCUGACAUAAGUAACGAUAAAGCGGGUGAAAAGCCCGCUCGCCGGAAGACCAAGGGUUCCUGUCCAACGUUAAUCGGGGCAGGGUGAGUCGACCCCUAAGGCGAGGCCGAAAGGCGUAGUCGAUGGGAAACAGGUUAAUAUUCCUGUACUUGGUGUUACUGCGAAGGGGGGACGGAGAAGGCUAUGUUGGCCGGGCGACGGUUGUCCCGGUUUAAGCGUGUAGGCUGGUUUUCCAGGCAAAUCCGGAAAAUCAAGGCUGAGGCGUGAUGACGAGGCACUACGGUGCUGAAGCAACAAAUGCCCUGCUUCCAGGAAAAGCCUCUAAGCAUCAGGUAACAUCAAAUCGUACCCCAAACCGACACAGGUGGUCAGGUAGAGAAUACCAAGGCGCUUGAGAGAACUCGGGUGAAGGAACUAGGCAAAAUGGUGCCGUAACUUCGGGAGAAGGCACGCUGAUAUGUAGGUGAAGUCCCUUGCGGAUGGAGCUGAAAUCAGUCGAAGAUACCAGCUGGCUGCAACUGUUUAUUAAAAACACAGCACUGUGCAAACACGAAAGUGGACGUAUACGGUGUGACGCCUGCCCGGUGCCGGAAGGUUAAUUGAUGGGGUCAGCGCAAGCGAAGCUCUUGAUCGAAGCCCCGGUAAACGGCGGCCGUAACUAUAACGGUCCUAAGGUAGCGAAAUUCCUUGUCGGGUAAGUUCCGACCUGCACGAAUGGCGUAAUGAUGGCCAGGCUGUCUCCACCCGAGACUCAGUGAAAUUGAACUCGCUGUGAAGAUGCAGUGUACCCGCGGCAAGACGGAAAGACCCCGUGAACCUUUACUAUAGCUUGACACUGAACAUUGAGCCUUGAUGUGUAGGAUAGGUGGGAGGCUUUGAAGUGUGGACGCCAGUCUGCAUGGAGCCGACCUUGAAAUACCACCCUUUAAUGUUUGAUGUUCUAACGUGGACCCGUGAUCCGGGUUGCGGACAGUGUCUGGUGGGUAGUUUGACUGGGGCGGUCUCCUCCUAAAGAGUAACGGAGGAGCACGAAGGUUGGCUAAUCCUGGUCGGACAUCAGGAGGUUAGUGCAAUGGCAUAAGCCAGCUUGACUGCGAGCGUGACGGCGCGAGCAGGUGCGAAAGCAGGUCAUAGUGAUCCGGUGGUUCUGAAUGGAAGGGCCAUCGCUCAACGGAUAAAAGGUACUCCGGGGAUAACAGGCUGAUACCGCCCAAGAGUUCAUAUCGACGGCGGUGUUUGGCACCUCGAUGUCGGCUCAUCACAUCCUGGGGCUGAAGUAGGUCCCAAGGGUAUGGCUGUUCGCCAUUUAAAGUGGUACGCGAGCUGGGUUUAGAACGUCGUGAGACAGUUCGGUCCCUAUCUGCCGUGGGCGCUGGAGAACUGAGGGGGGCUGCUCCUAGUACGAGAGGACCGGAGUGGACGCAUCACUGGUGUUCGGGUUGUCAUGCCAAUGGCACUGCCCGGUAGCUAAAUGCGGAAGAGAUAAGUGCUGAAAGCAUCUAAGCACGAAACUUGCCCCGAGAUGAGUUCUCCCUGACCCUUUAAGGGUCCUGAAGGAACGUUGAAGACGACGACGUUGAUAGGCCGGGUGUGUAAGCGCAGCGAUGCGUUGAGCUAACCGGUACUAAUGAACCGUGAGGCUUAACCUUACAACGCCGAAGCUGUU